GUUGAAUACAGAAGGCAUUCGAUAGCACCUUCAGAGUUAUAUUGUGAAAAAUAUCAUAUAUCUCAUGACAAGUCGGCCAGUUGUGAUAUACCAACCAGUGAAAGGCAGCGUUGACUGUUUUUAUUUCCACAGGGCUUUUUUCACAAAACUGAUUAGUUGAAUAAGCUCGUGAGUGUCCGGAGGAGUACUGAGUGCUUGAUCAGCUAUGCUUUCAUACUCGUCGCAGAUCCUAAAAAGUAUACAGGAAUAAUAUCUUUGGUCAGUGAUGAGGAAUAUUGGCGCUCAAUUGAUGAAACUUUUCUAUCAGUACAGCGUAUUCUUCCAAAUUAUGAGGAGGAUCUGCGUAAAUGAAGUUAAGAAUCGAUCGAUUCUCUUCAUCAUUGAUCAGUGAAAUGUAGUGGUUGAAAUCCUGGAGUCGCUUUUCC